GAGAGUUUGAUCCUGGCUCAGAUUGAACGCUGGCGGCAGGCCUAACACAUGCAAGUCGAGCGGUAGCACAGAGAGCUUGCUCUCGGGUGACGAGCGGCGGACGGGUGAGUAAUGUCUGGGAAACUGCCUGAUGGAGGGGGAUAACUACUGGAAACGGUAGCUAAUACCGCAUAACGUCGCAAGACCAAAGUGGGGGACCUUCGGGCCUCAUGCCAUCAGAUGUGCCCAGAUGGGAUUAGCUAGUAGGUGGGGUAAUGGCUCACCUAGGCGACGAUCCCUAGCUGGUCUGAGAGGAUGACCAGCCACACUGGAACUGAGACACGGUCCAGACUCCUACGGGAGGCAGCAGUGGGGAAUAUUGCACAAUGGGCGCAAGCCUGAUGCAGCCAUGCCGCGUGUAUGAAGAAGGCCUUCGGGUUGUAAAGUACUUUCAGCGAGGAGGAAGGCGUUAAGGUUAAUAACCUUAGCGAUUGACGUUACUCGCAGAAGAAGCACCGGCUAACUCCGUGCCAGCAGCCGCGGUAAUACGGAGGGUGCAAGCGUUAAUCGGAAUUACUGGGCGUAAAGCGCACGCAGGCGGUCUGUCAAGUCGGAUGUGAAAUCCCCGGGCUCAACCUGGGAACUGCAUUCGAAACUGGCAGGCUAGAGUCUUGUAGAGGGGGGUAGAAUUCCAGGUGUAGCGGUGAAAUGCGUAGAGAUCUGGAGGAAUACCGGUGGCGAAGGCGGCCCCCUGGACAAAGACUGACGCUCAGGUGCGAAAGCGUGGGGAGCAAACAGGAUUAGAUACCCUGGUAGUCCACGCCGUAAACGAUGUCGACUUGGAGGUUGUGCCCUUGAGGCGUGGCUUCCGGAGCUAACGCGUUAAGUCGACCGCCUGGGGAGUACGGCCGCAAGGUUAAAACUCAAAUGAAUUGACGGGGGCCCGCACAAGCGGUGGAGCAUGUGGUUUAAUUCGAUGCAACGCGAAGAACCUUACCUACUCUUGACAUCCAGAGAACUUAGCAGAGAUGCUUUGGUGCCUUCGGGAACUCUGAGACAGGUGCUGCAUGGCUGUCGUCAGCUCGUGUUGUGAAAUGUUGGGUUAAGUCCCGCAACGAGCGCAACCCUUAUCCUUUGUUGCCAGCGGUUAGGCCGGGAACUCAAAGGAGACUGCCAGUGAUAAACUGGAGGAAGGUGGGGAUGACGUCAAGUCAUCAUGGCCCUUACGAGUAGGGCUACACACGUGCUACAAUGGCAUAUACAAAGAGAAGCGACCUCGCGAGAGCAAGCGGACCUCAUAAAGUAUGUCGUAGUCCGGAUUGGAGUCUGCAACUCGACUCCAUGAAGUCGGAAUCGCUAGUAAUCGUAGAUCAGAAUGCUACGGUGAAUACGUUCCCGGGCCUUGUACACACCGCCCGUCACACCAUGGGAGUGGGUUGCAAAAGAAGUAGGUAGCUUAACCUUCGGGAGGGCGCUUACCACUUUGUGAUUCAUGACUGGGGUGAAGUCGUAACAAGGUAGCCG
rnacentral:rRNA from 1 species